rnacentral:rRNA from 1 species
GACGAGUUUGAUCAUGGCUCAGAACGAACGCUGGCGGCAGGCCUAACACAUGCAAGUCGAGCGAGGACUUCGGUCCUAGCGGCGGACGGGUGAGUAACGCGUGGGAACGUGCCCUUUGGUACGGAAUAGCCCCGGGAAACUGGGAGUAAUACCGUAUGGUGUCUUCGGACUAAAGAUUUAUCGCCAAAGGAUCGGCCCGCGUUGGAUUAGGUAGUUGGUGGGGUAAUGGCCUACCAAGCCGACGAUCCAUAGCUGGUUUGAGAGGAUGAUCAGCCACACUGGGACUGAGACACGGCCCAGACUCCUACGGGAGGCAGCAGUGGGGAAUCUUAGACAAUGGGGGGCAACCCUGAUCUAGCCAUGCCGCGUGAGUGAUGAAGGCCCUAGGGUUGUAAAGCUCUUUCAGCUGGGAAGAUAAUGACGGUACCAGCAGAAGAAGCCCCGGCUAACUCCGUG